rnacentral:rRNA from 1 species
AUUGAACGCUGGCGGCAGGCCUAACACAUGCAAGUCGAGCGGAAACGAGUUAUCUGAACCUUCGGGGAACGAUAACGGCGUCGAGCGGCGGACGGGUGAGUAAUGCCUAGGAAAUUGCCCUGAUGUGGGGGAUAACCAUUGGAAACGAUGGCUAAUACCGCAUAACACCUUCGGGUCAAAGAGGGGGACCUUCGGGGCCUCUCGCGUCAGGAUAUGCCUAGGUGGGAUUAGCUAGUUGGUGAGGUAAUGGCGAACCAAGGCGACGAUCCCUAGCUGGUCUGAGAGGAUGAUCAGCCACACUGGAACUGAGACACGGUCCAGACUCCUACGGGAGCAGCAGUGGGGAAUGUUGCACAAUGGGACGCGAAGCCUGACUGCAGCCAUGCCGCGUGUGUGAAGAAGG